AGAAUCAACGCUGGCGGCGUGCCUAACACAUGCAAGUCGAACGAGAAAGUGGAGCAAUCCAUGAGUAAAGUGGCGCACGGGUGAGUAACACGUGACUAACCUACCCUUGAGUGGGGGAUAACCUAGGGAAACCUGGGCUAAUACCGCAUAAUACCUUCGGGUCAAAGGAGCAAUUCGCUUAAGCGAGGGGGUCGCGGCCGAUUAGUUAGUUGGCGGGGUAAUGGCCCACCAAGACGAUGAUCGGUAUCCGGCCUGAGAGGGCGCACGGACACACUGGAACUGAAACACGGUCCAGACUCCUACGGGAGGCAGCAGUGGGAAUUUUGCGCAAUGGGGGAAACCCUGACGCAGCAACGCCGCGUGGAGGAUGAAGUCCCUUGGGACGUAAACUCCUUUCGAUCGGGACGAUUAUGACGGUACCGGAAGAAGAAGCCCGGCUAACUUCGCGCCAGCAGCCGC
rnacentral:rRNA from 1 species